rnacentral:rRNA from 1 species
GACAGAGGCCUCAAGCGUUAGGCGGAAUCACUGGGCUUAAAGCGUGUGUAGGCGGAUCGUUAAGUGUCUUGUGAAAUCCCACGGCUCACCCGUGGAACUGCUGGGCAUACUGGCGAUCUUGGGCCAACUAGGGGCAACUGGAACAAGCGGUGGAGCGGUGAAAUGCGUAGAUAUCUGGAGGAACACCGGUGGCGAAGGCGGCAUCCUGGACCAAUACUGACACUGAGGAGCGAAAGCCAGGGGAGCAAACGGG